rnacentral:tRNA from 1 species
GGUGGUAUAGUGUAGUGGUUAUCACUCGAGAUUUUGAAAGUUGCCUGGGGGGCUUGAACCUGGGUAUUACAUAAGCGUUUCUCGUGACCCAGGUUCGAACCCUGGUACUACCU